AAUGACAGAAAUGAUGAAGAAGAUGGUAUGUCUGGAAUCUGUGCAAAAGAAUCCUAAGCUUACACUGACAAGGCCCAAGGAUCCUGAACUUGAAACAGCUCAACGUUACAGUCCAGUAAAACUUAAGAGCUCAGCUGAGUUGGAAGAAGAAAUGAUGGCAAAAUUCCCCAAGUUUAAGGCUCGCCCUCUAAAUAAGAAGUGGAGUAUUCUCCAUCGAUAGUUGGAAUGGAUGUUUCCCAUGGCAUUUUCAGGUAUUUCAUUCUUUUCACACAAACAGUAUAACCAGCCUGUCAGAGUAUGUGAACCCACUAUUGACUAAUUGAUUUAUUUGAAAACCUUUUUAAUGGAGAGAUGGUUAAUUUAUUAAUUUCAGCUUUGUGUUUACCUUUGUGAAUUUCUCUCUAUUGUUUUAUGCUUUGAAAUAAAUCUUGAAUGCAUGUAUAUAUAGGAUUUCACAAUUGGUCUGAUUCUUAAUUCUGUAAUAUGGGCACCAAUCCACUUGAAUUUGCAUAAUAAGCCUUAACUUUUGAGCCAUGUAUAAGGAUUGUUGAUAUGAAGAAGUGACUCCUCACGGGGAAGCCAAUUUGGUAUGUUUUGAGCCUUAACUUUUGAGCCAUGUAUAAGGAUUGUUGAUAGGAAGAAGUGACUCCUGACGGGGAAGCCAAUUUGGGAUCUGGUGACAAGCAGUUGGCUGUUCAUGGUUCUGUUUCUGCUGUAAUAUCUGUUCUCAAGGAUCCUGUAAGAAGCUGUCCUCACUUCAUGCACCCCUCAGCCACCAAAAAUUACUUCUCAGGAACCCCUCUGCAUUGAAGUCAGCAACCUUAUCACAAGUGAAAAGCAUUAAUCCAGAUAGUGCAAGAAGGAACGCAAAUAUUAAAAUGACAUCUGAAACUCCAAAUAUUGCUCAAGAAAAUCAAGCUAUAAAGAGGCAAAGACUUUUAGAGGGGAAAGCUAGACAGCAUGACCUGAGGUUCGUGAAUCAGAAGGGUUGGCAUUCCGCGCUCUCUACAUGACUGUUGGAAUGCAAGCAAUUGAUGAGAUUGUUCUGACACUUCUGCAUGCAAAAUGGAUGUUUGAUGUGGAUGGUUUAAAACAGAUUUUAAG